CAGUAGCCGCGGGAAUACGAAGGGUGCAAGCGUUAAUCGGAAUUACUGGGCGUAAAGCGUGCGUAGGCGGUGAGUUAAGUCUGCUGUGAAAGCCCUGGGCUCAACCUGGGAAUUGCAGUGGAUACUGGGUCACUAGAGUGUGGUAGAGGAUAGUGGAAUUUCCGGUGUAGCAGUGAAAUGCGUAGAGAUCGGAAGGAACAUCUGUGGCGAAGGCGACUAUCUGGGCCAACACUGACACUGAGGCACGAAAGCGUGGGGAGCAAACAGGAUUAGAUACCCCGGUAGUCCCUGUCUCUUAUAC
rnacentral:rRNA from 1 species